rnacentral:misc_RNA from 1 species
CACCACUCAAGCCUCGCUUGGUAUUGGGCGCCGCGGUGUUCCGCGCGCCUCAAAGUCUCCGGCUGAGCUGUCCGUCUCUAAGCGUUGUGAUUUCAUUAAUCGCUUCGGAGCGCAGGGCGUCGCCCGCCGGACGAACCUUCUGAACUUUUCUCAA